AAAUUGAAGAGUUUGAUCAUGGCUCAGAUUGAACGCUGGCGGCAGGCCUAACACAUGCAAGUCGAACGGUAACAGGAAGCAGCUUGCUGCUUCGCUGACGAGUGGCGGACGGGUGAGUAAUGUCUGGGAAACUGCCUGAUGGAGGGGGAUAACUACUGGAAACGGUGGCUAAUACCGCAUAACGUCGCAAGACCAAAGAGGGGGACCUUCGGGCCUCUUGCCAUCAGAUGUGCCCAGAUGGGAUUAGCUUGUUGGUGAGGUAACGGCUCACCAAGGCGACGAUCCCUAGCUGGUCUGAGAGGAUGACCAGCCACACUGGAACUGAGACACGGUCCAGACUCCUACGGGAGGCAGCAGUGGGGAAUAUUGCACAAUGGGCGCAAGCCUGAUGCAGCCAUGCCGCGUGUAUGAAGAAGGCCUUCGGGUUGUAAAGUACUUUCAGCGGGGAGGAAGGUGUUGUGGUUAAUAACCGCAGCAAUUGACGUUACCCGCAGAAGAAGCACCGGCUAACUCCGUGCCAGCAGCCGCGGUAAUACGGAGGGUGCAAGCGUUAAUCGGAAUUACUGGGCGUAAAGCGCACGCAGGCGGUCUGUCAAGUCGGAUGUGAAAUCCCCGGGCUCAACCUGGGAACUGCAUUCGAAACUGGCAGGCUUGAGUCUUGUAGAGGGGGGUAGAAUUCCAGGUGUAGCGGUGAAAUGCGUAGAGAUCUGGAGGAAUACCGGUGGCGAAGGCGGCCCCCUGGACAAAGACUGACGCUCAGGUGCGAAAGCGUGGGGAGCAAACAGGAUUAGAUACCCUGGUAGUCCACGCCGUAAACGAUGUCUACUUGGAGGUUGUGCCCUUGAGGCGUGGCUUCCGGAGCUAACGCGUUAAGUAGACCGCCUGGGGAGUACGGCCGCAAGGUUAAAACUCAAAUGAAUUGACGGGGGCCCGCACAAGCGGUGGAGCAUGUGGUUUAAUUCGAUGCAACGCGAAGAACCUUACCUGGUCUUGACAUCCACAGAACUUUCCAGAGAUGGACUGGUGCCUUCGGGAACUGUGAGACAGGUGCUGCAUGGCUGUCGUCAGCUCGUGUUGUGAAAUGUUGGGUUAAGUCCCGCAACGAGCGCAACCCUUAUCCUUUGUUGCCAGCGGUUAGGCCGGGAACUCAAAGGAGACUGCCAGUGAUAAACUGGAGGAAGGUGGGGAUGACGUCAAGUCAUCAUGGCCCUUACGACCAGGGCUACACACGUGCUACAAUGGCGCAUACAAAGAGAAGCGACCUCGCGAGAGCAAGCGGACCUCAUAAAGUGCGUCGUAGUCCGGAUUGGAGUCUGCAACUCGACUCCAUGAAGUCGGAAUCGCUAGUAAUCGUGGAUCAGAAUGCCACGGUGAAUACGUUCCCGGGCCUUGUACACACCGCCCGUCACACCAUGGGAGUGGGUUGCAAAAGAAGUAGGUAGCUUAACCUUCGGGAGGGCGCUUACCACUUUGUGAUUCAUGACUGGGGUGAAGUCGUAACAAGGUAACCGUAGGGGAACCUGCGGUUGGAUCACCUCCUUACCUUAAAGAAGC
rnacentral:rRNA from 3 species